UACGUAUGUCGCAAGCGUUAUCCGGAUUUAUUGGGCGUAAAGCGCGUCUAGGCGGCUUAGUAAGUCUGAUGUGAAAAUGCGGGGCUCAACCCCGUAUUGCGUUGGAAACUGUUAAACUAGAGUACUGGAGAGGUAGGCGGAACUACAAGUGUAGAGGUGAAAUUCGUAGAUAUUUGUAGGAAUGCCGAUGGGGAAGCCAGCCUACUGGACAGAUACUGACGCUAAAGCGCGAAAGCGUGGGUAGCAAACAGGAUUGGAUACCCUGGUAGUCCACGCCGUAAACGAUGAUUACUAGGUGUUGGGGGUCGAACCUCAGCGCCCAAGCUAACGCGAUAAGUAAUCCGCCUGGGGAGUACGUACGCAAGUAUGAAACUUAAAGGAAUUGACGGGG
rnacentral:rRNA from 1 species